rnacentral:lncRNA from 10 species
GAUUGCUGGCGAUUCAGAGAAAGUUUCAUUUUCCUGAUACGAAGCCCAGAGAGAUACCAAAAUGCGCAAGCCUCGGCCAUCAUCAAGGAACUGAGAAAAUGUGUCUUCAACCAUGAGGAGGAAAAUUCAAAGGAGUUCCGAACACAUACAAAUACAUGUAAAGGGACAGAGAUGAAAGGAAUGGAGCCAUCGGAGCGGGAGUACAGGGGGAGAGGGAGCAGCACCUAUGCCCAAGCCCCGACUGGGCAGCCUGGGCCAGCCCUCAGGAUGAGAGCAAGGUUCUCAAUGCCCUUCCUCACCUCCCUCCUCAAUGAUGUUCUUCAUCCUCACCAUCCCAUCACCUCCAGAGACUAGUGUGUUUGUGGCACCCUUCUUCCCAGUCAAGCCUGCUCUCAGAAAUCAUCCUUGGGAAGGUAAGAACAAUAGAUGGGGCAUAGUAUAUCUUUCAACAAUGCCUUGAGUAUUUGCAUUUUCACAGAGGAAGUAUUGAAGAUGGUACCUCAGUUCGAGGUUUUCAAAAAGGACUUAUAGGUAAAUAAAUCACACAGACAAUGGCACCUGCCUAAAGAUUAGUGUAAUAUAAGUGCUUUGUCCCUGGAACACAAGGCGAUAUUGUUAGCAAAAACUUUUAUUGAAAAA